AGGAAUAUUGGUCAAUGGGCGAUGGCCUGAACCAGCCAAGUAGCGUGAAGGAUGACUGCCCUAUGGGUUGUAAACUUCUUUUAUAAAGGAAUAAAGUCGGGUAUGCAUACCCGUUUGCAUGUACUUUAUGAAUAAGGAUCGGCUAACUCCGUGCCAGCAGCCGCGGUAAUACGGAGGAUCCGAGCGUUAUCCGGAUUUAUUGGGUUUAAAGGGAGCGUAGAUGGAUGUUUAAGUCAGUUGUGAAAGUUUGCGGCUCAACCGUAAAAUUGCAGUUGAUACUGGAUGUCUUGAGUGCAGUUGAGGCAGGCGGAAUUCGUGGUGUAGCGGUGAAAUGCUUAGAUAUCACGAAGAACUCCGAUUGCGAAGGCAGCUUGCUGGACUGUAACUGACGCUGAUGCUCGAAAGUGUGGGUAUCAAACAGGAUUAGAUACCCUGGUAGUCCACACAGUAAACGAUGAAUACUCGCUGUUUGCGAUAUACAGUAAGCGGCCAAGCGAAAGCGUUAAGUAUUCCACCUGGGGAGUACGCCGGCAACGGUGAAACUCAAAGGAAUUGACGGGGGCCCGCACAAGCGGAGGAACAUGUGGUUUAAUUCGAUGAUACGCGAGGAACCUUACCCGGGCUUGAAUUGCAACUGAAUGAUGUGGAGACAUGUCAGCCGCAAGGCAGUUGUGAAGGUGCUGCAUGGUUGUCGUCAGCUCGUGCCGUGAGGUGUCGGCUUAAGUGCCAUAACGAGCGCAACCCUUAUCGAUAGUUACCAUCAGGUUAUGCUGGGGACUCUGUCGAGACUGCCGUCGUAAGAUGUGAGGAAGGUGGGGAUGACGUCAAAUCAGCACGGCCCUUACGUCCGGGGCUACACACGUGUUACAAUGGGGGGUACAGAAGGCAGCUACACGGCGACGCGGAGCGGAUCCCUGAAAACCGGUCUCAGUUCGGAUCGCAGUCUGCAACUCGACUGCGUGAAGGCGGAGUCGCUAGUAAUCGCGAAUCAGCAACGUCGCGGUGAAUGCGUUCCCG
rnacentral:rRNA from 1 species